CUUCCUUCAGAACUGAAAGACCAGGGAUGAGGCAAGAGCUGGAGUGGGACUCUCCAACAAGAACAUGGAAAAGAGACCGUGGCCAAGGCUUUCUGAGUGAGGGAGAAGUCCAUAUUUAAUCCUUGCAUCAGCAGGGGGAAGUGUUGGGCAGAAUUUCCCACAGGAAAGGACUAGUGACACUGCUUAGCCCAGGAAAGGGAGGGUAAAACUACAAACUGUUGAAGCAUGAAGGUUGAGGCCUGGGGUGCAACAAGGAUAUAUUUUAUGUCUGGACUCUUGCUUGUGCUAGAGGGUCAAGGCAAUAAACACUGAACCACAACAAAGUAUACUUCCCCAAGAGACUGAAGACCAUGUGCAUCUGAUGAGAGGGAGAAAACAAACAGUGGAGUCCAAAAGAGACAAGGCUCUCUAAUCUCUCAUAAAAAUGCUGUGGAAAUUUGAAAGGAAAGGAAGAUGAUGAUAUCGCCUGCACUGAGACGAUCCUUAAUCGCUGUUUUGAUGGAUGGGUUCCAUGAGACAGUGGCCACCAUAGAUCACGUGUAUGGAUCCAAACAGUUGCUAAAUGCUAGCAGAGGCUAGUUCUAUUCCUCCUCAUUGUGCUCCCUCUGGGCAAAACUAGCACUGAUGAUGGUGCUACACUUCCUGAUGUGUGGGAUGAAGAAGAGGAUGUGGCCUCCCCCCACUCUGGUUAAGAGCGCUGGGCUCACCUGGGGGAAGCAUAUUUUGCCCAGUAUCCCCAUGAUGGACCUGGAGAUGU